UUUUUGGACGUCGACCGGCGCACGGGUGAGUAACGCGUAUCCAACCUUCCCAUGACUAAGGGAUAACCUGCCGAAAGGCAGACUAAUACCUUAUGGUCUUCACUGACGGCAUCAGAUGUGAAGUAAAGAUUUAUCGGUUAUGGAUGGGGAUGCGUCUGAUUAGCUUGUUGGCGGGGUAACGGCCCACCAAGGCGACGAUCAGUAGGGGUUCUGAGAGGAAGGUCCCCCACAUUGGAACUGAGACACGGUCCAAACUCCUACGGGAGGCAGCAGUGAGGAAUAUUGGUCAAUGGGCGAGAGCCUGAACCAGCCAAGUAGCGUGCAGGAUGACGGCCCUAUGGGUUGUAAACUGCUUUUGUAUGGGGAUAAAGUCAGUCACGUGUGAUUGUUUGCAGGUACCAUACGAAUAAGGACCGGCUAAUUCCGUGCCAGCAGCCGCGGUAAUACGGAAGGUCCGGGCGUUAUCCGGAUUUAUUGGGUUUAAAGGGAGCGUAGGCUGGGGAUUAAGUGUGUUGUGAAAUGUAGACGCUCAACGUCUGACUUGCAGCGCAUACUGGUUUCCUUGAGUACGCACAACGUUGGCGGAAUUCGUCGUGUAGCGGUGAAAUGCUUAGAUAUGACGAAGAACUCCGAUUGCGAAGGCAGCUGACGGGAGCGCAACUGACGCUGAAGCUCGAAGGUGCGGGUAUCGAACAGGAUUAGAUACCCUGGUAGUCCGCACAGUAAACGAUGGAUGCCCGCUGUUGGUACCUGGUAUCAGCGGCUAGGCGAAAGCAUUAAGCAUCCCACCUGGGGAGUACGCCGGCAACGGU
rnacentral:rRNA from 1 species